GGAUAGCUCAGUUGGUUAGAGCAUGGUGCUGAUGAUGCCAAGGUUGCAGGCUCAACCCUUGUGUGGGACA